rnacentral:rRNA from 1 species
GAUGAACGCUAGCGGCAGGCUUAAUACAUGCAAGUCGAGGGGCAUCAAGGUACACGAAAGUGUAUUGUUGGCGACCGGCGGACGGGUGAGUAAUAGGUAGGUAACCUACCUCAUACUGAGGCAUAGCUGGGAGAAAUUCCAGGUAAUUCCUCAUGAGGUUAUAUGACACAUGUGAUAUAAUCAAAGGUAUCGCAAGGUACUGGUAUGAGAUGGGCUUACUGACCAUUAGCUAGUUGGUGAGAUAAGAGCUCACCAAGGCGAAGAUGGUUAGGGGUUUUGAGAGAGAGAUCCCCCACAUUGGAACUGAGAUACGGUCCAGACUCCUACGGGAGCAGCAGUAGGGAAUAUUGGGCAAUGGGCGGAAGCCUGACCCAGCCAUGCCGCGUGAAGGAAGACGGCCUUAUGGGUUGUAAACUUCUUUACUAUGCGACUAACUAGAUUUACGAGAUAAUUCUAUAGAAUGUAGCAUAGACAAAAAGCACCGGA